rnacentral:rRNA from 1 species
AGUCUGGUGCCAGCAGCCGCGGUAAUUCCAGCUCCAAUAGCGUAUAUUAAAGUUGCUGCAGUUAAAAAGCUCGUAGUUGGAUCUGGGGCUUGAGGUCGCUGUCUAUCGUUUCGGCGAUGACGGUGAUGCUCAGCUCUGCUUGCCGGUGACUGUUGCGGUGUUCUUCACUGAGCGCUGUAGCAGCACGGCACGUUUACUUUGAAAAAAAUUAGAGUGCUCAAAGCGUGCUUGUCGCUUGAAUAAUGUUGCAUGGAAUAAUGGAAUAGGACCUCGGUUCUAUUUUGUUGGUUUUCGGAGCUUGAGGUAAUGAUUAAGAGGGACGAACGGGGGCAUUCGUAUUGCGGUGUUAGAGGUGAAAUUCUUGGAUCGCCGCAAGACGGACUACUGCGAAAGCAUUUGCCAAGAACGCUUUCAUUAAUUAAGAACGAAAGUCAGAGGUUCGAAGACGAUCAGACACCGUCCUAGUUCUGACCAUAAACGAUGCCGACCAGCGAUCCGUAGUGGUUGCUUUAUGGACCCUACGGGCAGCCUCCGGGAAACCAAAGUAUUUGGGUUCCGGGGGAAGUAUGGUUGCAAAGCUGAAACUUAAAGGAAUUGACGGAAGGGCACACCAGGAGUGGAGCCUGCGGCUUAAUUUGACCCAACACGGGAAAACUCACCCGGUCCGGACACCGUAAGGAUUGACAGACUGAUAGCUCUUUCUUGAUUCGGUGGAUGGUGGUGCAUGGCCGUUCUUAGUUGGUGGAGUGAUUUGUCUGGUUAAUUCCGAUAACGAACGAGACUCUAGCCUGCUAAGUAGUGUUGCUAUUGUUAUAUGGUUGACACUUCUUAGAGGGACAAGUGGCAUUUAGCCACGCGAAAUUGAGCAAUAACAGGUCUGUGAUGCCCUUAGAUGUCCGGGGCCGCACGCGCGCUACACUGGAGAAGUCAGCGUGUGUUAUCCAAGUCCGAAAGGACUGGGUAAUCCGUUGAACCUUCUUCGUGCUUGGGACUGUGGCUUGGAACUAUUCCACAUGAACGAGGAAUUCCUAGUAAUUGCAAGUCAUAAGCUUGCGUUGAUUACGUCCCUGCCCUUUGUACACACCGCCCGUCGCUACUACCGAUUGAAUGGUUUAGCAAGGUCCUCGGAUCGUGGCCGUAGGGGCACGCAAGUGUUUCUGCGGUUUGCGAGAAGACGACCAGACUUGAUCAUUUAGA